rnacentral:rRNA from 1 species
UACAGAGGGGGCAAGCGUUGUUCGGAAUUACUGGGCGUAAAGGGCGCGUAGGCGGCCUCUUAAGUCGAACGUGAAAUCCCCGGGCUCAACCCGGGAACUGCGUCCGAUACUGGGGGGCUUGAAUCCGGGAGAGGGAUGUGGAAUUCCAGGUGUAGCGGUGAAAUGCGUAGAUAUCGCUUGGAACGCCGAAGGUGAAAACAGGCUGCUGGGGUUGUGCCGACGCUGAGACACGAAAGCCAGGGGAGCAAACGGG